AUUAAAGAGAAAAAAAGAACUUAAAACAGCCUUAGGAAAAAAAAGUGUCCCUCCUCCCCCUCCAUCUUCCUCUUCCUUUCCUCCCCCUCCUUCUUCUUCUUGAUGGUCUUCUUCUUUCCUUCUCU
rnacentral:ribozyme from 1 species